rnacentral:ncRNA from 2 species
CUCUUAUCGAGAGUGGCGGAGGGACUGGCCCGAUGAAGCCCGGCAACCUCGCCUUGGAGCACGUAUAAGGCUUGCUCUUAAAGGCAAAGGUGCCAAUUCCUGCAGGGCAUUAUUGCUCUGAGAGAUAAGAG